AAGGGAUAAGAGAGGGCUAGUAAAAGAGGGAGGGGGGAAGGGAAAGGAGUAUAGAUAUAGAGAUAUAGGGAUAGAGAAUUUAUAUAGAGAACAUAAAGAUAGACAUACAGAAGAUAGAGAUAGCUAUAGAAAAGAUAGAGAUAACUAUAGAAGAUAAAGAUAUAGUUAUAGAGCAUAGAUGGAGAUAACUAUAGAGAGAGUCAGACAUAGAGAAGAUAGAGAUUGAUACAGACAUAGAAGAUAGAGAUAGAGAUAUAGAAGACAGACAUAGAGAUAGAUAAGAUAGAGAUAGAGAAGAUAUUGUGGAUAGAGAUAAUAGAGAAGAUAAGGAUAGAUAUAGAAUAGAUAUAGAUAUAAAGAUAGUUAUUUAUACAAAAGACAGAGAUAGAGAUAUAGAGAAGUUAGAGAUAGAUUUAGAGAAAGAUAGAGAAUUUAGAGAUAGACUACUUUUAUAGAGAUAGAUAGAAAUAGGAAAAAGAUGGAGAAAAAUAGAAAUAGACACGAGAGAGUGAAGGAGUUUGAGAUAGAGACAGAAAGGGUAAUGAGAGGGUCAUUGGGAGAGAGAGGGUCAGACAGAGAGGGAGAGACAGACUGUGUGUGAGAUUGUGUGUGAACGUUUGUGUGUGUGUGUGUGUCUGCGUGUGUUCAUUUCACAACCUGGUAUUUCAUCAGAUAAGGGGUUGCCUUGUUUUUCUCCUCUUCCUGAAUCUCUUACAGGAAAUACUUGGAUGACGCCAUGGGGAAGAGAAAUCGGGUAUCUACCCACGACUCAGUCUAGGAGCAGUGGAAGAACCUUUUCCAGGAUGCAAAAGCACUGCUAUUUCGAGGUCCCCCUCAACAUACCGCACCCUUGUCAUAGAGGAAUAAUGUGCAGGUGGGGGACCUCGAGGUCCAGAAGGAGAGCAUUCCUGCGAGGCCAAAAUCGGAACGAAAGGACAUUGUGGCCCCAUCCUCAGUGAGGAGAUUGGCUUCUGAGGCUCCUAUGCUUAUAGUCAUUGUCUCAUAUAGAAUAAUUACCCUUAAAUGCUCGGUCGUCUCAUUCAAGUACAAUUUUUUCAGCAUUUCAUCCCUUUACAGCUUCCCAUUGCCACUCUUAAUUUUUCAAGGACUUAUUUUCAUCUUGAGACUCCUUUCCUCCUUUGCAAGUUGGUUUACGUUUUUUUUUUUUGUUUGUUUGUUUUUUGUUUUUUUAUACGGUUUUCAUUGUUCUUGGAAGCAGUUUUUUUGGUUACAUUUUCUCAAUUUCUUUUGAUUUUAAAUUCUUUUUUGAGUUCUAUACAUUUUCUUUGGUUUUGCAGCCAUUGUACAUGACUCUUCAGGAUAAAAGCUUUUUUUCCUUAAGUGUCCUCCUCUGAAGAUGAACUCUUGUCUUCCCUGUUCUGAUAAUCUAUUUCAAUGGUGGGGUUCUUCCUUGCAGGUGUGUUUUUUAAAAUGAGGAUUGAUUAUUGAGCUCUUUUAAUUGAUGUCGGGGGGAGUUCCUCAAGCUUCCAUUCAGAGUUGCCCUCUGACCAGGAAACCCAAAGACUCUGACCAAGAACUCCAAGGCAAGAGCUCCCCUUGCCUACAAGUACCAGCAGCCAGCAGGGUCCCGGAUCCACUGCCUCUGCAACCACCCAGGGUUGGAUCCUGGCCAGGGCCAAUCCUCAGUGCUACCUACAAGUGACACAGCUGGACCUGGUUGCCAACCUAGUCAACCCAGCUUCACUCAGGCCUCCAGGACUCAGAUCUCUACUUGACAAGAGAGUCUGGGAGAUGAAAGUCUUUGUGGUUCCUGUGAGGCUCCGGCCACUCCCAGCUUAGCCGAAGGGCCCCACUUGUUUCUGUGGAUUUAGGCUGGAGGUGUUGCCAUUUUAGAGAGAUUCAUUCCCAGUCCAAUGGCUUUUUUCACAAUCCUUUGGGUUGUGUGUGAAGGACCCCCUGUGAGAUCCCAAGUCUGAUUUGUAUGUCUAAAUUCUCUCUUAAGUUACAAAUUUGUUCCAUUUGUGGGGGAAAUUGGGAGAACUCGAACACCUUCCUAGACCCCUCCAGAGCAGAAAUUUUUUAAAAAAGGAUCAAAAUGAACCUUGUUAUCCCCAACCUUUGCCUUAGGCUGUUGGGAGAAGUGCUUGGGGAAUCUUGUAGGAGAAGGUUUUGAGUGGGGAGCCAAGGCUGGUUGGAAUUUUCUGGUCUUCUUCCAAGGACUACUGGCUUUGGCAGUACAGCAUGGGGUAGCUUCUUGGCUUAGAGGACCUUCUACCUGGGGCCAAUUAGAGUGUUGGAAAACAACUUUAGGGGAUUUCUUGGACUAACAUGUCAGGACUGGGGAUAUUUUUGUGGUGUUCUUCUGAGGAGCACUGACUACUUUGAUGGCCCUAACUUGCAUGCUUUAUUGGGGUGGAGGACUUUCUCCCUGAGCCCAGUUCAAAGAAGGUUUAGAGAGAGCUCUUGACGAUGUCUUGGUGUCAAUGGAGAGGGCCAUGGAUACUUUGGUGGCCCUCCUGUUCCAAGGAGCUCUUAGUACUUUCAUGGCAUUAACUUGGAUGCAUUCUUGGGGUAGAGGAUCUUCUCCCCGGGGCAAAUUAGAGAAGUGUUGGGAAACAACUGUGCUGGAUGUCUUGGACUCAGUUGGCAGAACUGGGGAUAUUUUGGUGUUCUAUUGAGGAGCACUGACUACUUUCAUGGCACUACCUGUAUGUAUUCUUGGGGUAGAGCAUCUUCUCCCUGGGGCGAAUUAAAGUGGUGUUUGGAAACAGCUUGGGGGAUAUGUUGGACUCAGAUGGCAGGACUAGGGAUACUUUAGUGGUCUUCCAAGAAGCAACGAUUAUUUUCAUGGGACUAACUUGGAUGGCUUCUUGGGGUGGAGGACCUUUGCCCUGAGUCCAAUUGAAAGAAGGUUCAGAGAGAAUUUUUGAGGAUAUCUUAGAGUCAGAUGGCAGUGCCAGGGAUUCUUUGGGCGUCCUUUUCCAUGGAACACUGACUCCUUUGAUGGUCUAGACUAGGCUGGCUUCUUAGGGAGGAGGAUCUUUGCACUGGGGCCAAUUAGAAUGUUCAGAAUCAACUUUGGGGGAUGUCUUAGAGUCAUUUGUCAGGGCCAGGGAUACUCUGAUGGUCUUCCUAGGAGCACUGACUAUUUUAAUGGCACAGACUUGGAUGGCUUCUUGGGGGAAAGGAUCUUCUCUUUGGAGCCAAUUAGAGGAUGGUUCACAGACAUCUUUGGGGGAUGUAUUGGAGUCAUUUGGCAUGACUGGGGAUACUUUCAUGUUCUUCUUCCAAGGAGCACACAAUAUUUUGAUGGCACUAACUUGCAUGACUUCUUGGAGUGGAGGACCUUCUCCUUGGGCCCAGUUGAAGGAAGGUUCAGAGAGAACUCUCGAGGAUGUCUCAGAGUCAGAUGGCAGGGCCGGGGACACUUUGGCUGCCCUCUUGCAAGGAGCACUGACUACUUUGAUGGCCCAGCCUGGGUUGAUGCUGGGUGAAUGUUUGGUGUUAAGAUAAUCAUAUCCAAGGAUUAGAGGCAGAGAAACAGAGGCCAAAGAUUCACCUUGCAGCAGGACCAGAAGGAGAGAAGUUGAUGCCUUUGGACUCGGACAAUCGAGGUUACAUCUUUGCGUGAGCCUGUGGCAGUUUGCCUGCUUCUUUCACUUCUCCUCCUAAAGACCAAGGACUUUUACUUAAUCCUGACUCUGGCUGAUCCUGAGAACGCCAGAGAGCUAGUCUGGACUUAACAGGAAGUCAUAGAAGUGAACAACUAAGAAAUUACAAUAGAGAUUGUAAAUAUUGAAAACAAACUGAACAUUGUGAAACAUAACUUAAAAGGCAGAACUGGAGAACAGAUUAGGAAUAGAAAAUUGAAGAACUGGACUACCUAAACAUUUUGACCAAAAAAAGAUCCUGAACACAAUAAUGCAAGAAAUAAUUGGUGAAUACUGUCCUGGAAUGAUAGGACAUGAGGGUAAAAUGUCAAAAUAGGAAAAAAAAUCCCCCAAUACCAUCUCAAUGAAAUCCAUUGUGGAAAACAUCAGAAUGUUAGUGCUAAAUUUUGAAACCCGAAGAUCAAAGGGAAAAUUUCAGAAGAAACAAACAAAAAAAAUUCAUAUAAGUGAAAACUACAAUAGGAAUUGAAUGAGACACAUCAGUAGCCCCAGUAAUAGACUGGAAAUGACCUACUGAGUGCUGAUUCUGAAAGAGGAGGGCAGAGAGAGGGUGAGCACAAUAGAGAAAAUAGGACAGGGCAACAUGGUGCAAGACCAAUUUAGGGGAGGGAAGGAAGACAGAAAGAGGAAAAAGAAUGAGAUAAAAGGGGAGGGAGGCAAAUGAGAGUAAGAAGGAAAAAAGAGUUUACACUGCAAAGAUUUCUUACAAUAUAUUUAAAAUUGUAUUUUUUUACAUCUUGAAAUGUGUAUUUUUCAAAUUACAUGGAGAGAAUUCAACAUUCAUUUUUGUCAAACUUUGUGAUCCCCGUGUUUCCCCUUCGCUCACUCAACCCCACUCUUCCCAUGAAAGCAAGCAAUCUAAGUGAAAUACAAGUCUUUUAUGCACUGAACCACAUUUCUCAGGUUGUGGAAGAAAACAUGUAAUCCUGAAGCAAAAAAAAAAAAAAAUAAAAAAAUAAAAAAUUAGAAAUCUGUAUGUGAUUCUCUGGUUCAAAUGUUGCUAGGAGGCAUCUCAAAAUGCAAACAAAGCAUGGAUUCUAUCAGAAAUGCAAG
ensembl:lncRNA